GUAUGGCGAAUCAUUUGAACUUCUCCAAAUGUUUUGAAAUCUUUCCUAAAAGAAUAUUUUAAACUGUAGAGAAGAAUCACAGAAGUUACUCUGGGAUGCUCUUCCUGAAAAGAGGCUGUUGUGAGCUGAGGGCUCUCAAGACACCCACACAAUCAGAAAGCUUCUGUGUUUCGGAAGGCUCCCAUUUUGCCAAUCACAGGGAAUGCUGAGAGCUGACAUUGAAUGAACCUACUAUAAAGGACAGACAUUUGCCCAUAAUUAUGUGCAUCUGUGGUAUCUGCUGGAGUUAAAUAAAAUCUUUUCAAUUCUC